AGAGUUUGAUCCUGGCUCAGGAUGAACGCUAGCUACAGGCUUAACACAUGCAAGUCGAGGGGAAACGACAUCGAAAGCUUGCUUUUGAUGGGCGUCGACCGGCGCACGGGUGAGUAACGCGUAUCCAACCUGCCCACCACUUGGGGAUAACCUUGCGAAAGUAAGACUAAUACCCAAUGACGUCUCUAGAAGACAUCUGAAAGAGAUUAAAGAUUUAUCGGUGAUGGAUGGGGAUGCGUCUGAUUAGCUUGGUUGGCGGGGUAACGGCCGCCAAGGCUACGAUCAGUAGGGGUUCUGAGAGGAACGGUCCCCCANAUUGGAACUGAGACACGGUCCAAACUCCGUACGGGAGCA
rnacentral:rRNA from 1 species